GCUGGGAUGGUCGAGUUGUUAAGAUGAGUGAUUUGAAUUCUCAUUACUUGGUGUUUCACUGCAUAAGUUCAAAUCCUGCUUUCAGUG